rnacentral:tRNA from 1 species
GCCUCUUUAGCUCAGCUGGUAGAGCAGCCGACUUUUAAUCGGCGGGUCCACGGUUCGAAACCGUGAAGAGGCA